rnacentral:rRNA from 1 species
UACGUAGGGCGCAAGCGUUAUCCGGAAUUAUUGGGCGUAAAGAGCUCGUAGGCGGCUUGUCGCGUCUGCCGUGAAAGUCCGGGGCUCAACUCCGGAUCUGCGGUGGGUACGGGCAGACUAGAGUGAUGUAGGGGAGACUGGAAUUCCUGGUGUAGCGGUGAAAUGCGCAGAUAUCAGGAAGAACACCCGUGGCUAAGGCGGCUCUCUAGUACGGUACUGACGCUGAGACGCGAAAGCGUGGGGAGCGAACAGG